AUGAAAGCACCAUUAUCUAAAAGCAUGCAGUGGGCUCUACUAGUCUCUCUGAUUUUGCUGCCUUGCCCUGUAGCACGAAGAAGAAGCAGACAGAGCAAUAAUGCUAAGGCAUCCUCAGAGGUUGUGAGGAAGAUAGAUGCUUUGGUGCUGGAGGAAAAUCCUGAGAGAGCCUUGGACCACAAGAAGAUCCAACCAGUCCAUCCUCCAGGAAAGAAUGCCCGGUUGCUCACUGGAGGGAAGGAUAUUAGAGGCAAAGCUGAAGUUUUUUGGCCACAUCAUGAGGAGACAGGAAAGCUUGGAAAAGAUCAUGAUGCUGGGGAAAAUGGAAGGAAAAAGGAAGAGAGGCCGACCAAGGGCAAGAUGGAUGGACGGUAUCCUUGAAGUGACUGGCUUGACCUUGAAGGAACUGGGGGCGGACAGGGAGCUCUGGUGUGGACUGGUCCAUGAGGUCACGAAGAGUCGGAGACGACUAAACAACUGAGCAGCAGCAGCAGGGGUACAGGGCCCCUGUGAAAAUAGAAAUCACUAAUGAAGAAAUUGCUGGGGGUUUUUUAGCCUGACAAAACACCGCUUCCGGAAUGACUCUUUGAUCAACUUCUGCUGAAAGCUGAUUACAGAAUCAUACUGGGAGACCUAGAGAUUCCUAGAGAACAUUUUAAAAAUCAAAUCUGUACAUAAUAAAAUCCACAAAAGUCAAAACCGCAAAUCAUAGAAUCAUAGAGUUGGAAGAGACCACACGGUUCAUCCAGUCCAACCCCCUGCCAUGCAGGAAAGGAUGGAGGAACAGCUGUAUUUGGUACCACUGGUUGGCUAUUUUCCCCGUCUUUCUUUUUCGUGUUCUACUUGCAACGUUCAAGGUCAAGCUCUGUCGAUGUUUGCUCAGAACCGAUCCAUACUUUUUUUUUAUCAUGUCAGAAGUGAAUUGAGAACUGCUGCAAGUUCUCAAUUUGCUUCUGACAUGAUAAAAAAAGUUCUCAUACUGAGUUCAGUGUGACUUACUCCCCCAAAAAGUGUGGAUUGGAUUGUGGCCCUCAAAACAAGGGUGUUCUUGCAGGUCUAUGAGAUGCUACUCAUGUAGACGUCUAGAAAUUUUAGGCAAAAUAUUAACCCCAAAACCUGGAUCGACAUCCAUGUGUCACUAUAAGUACUGUACUGUAACUUUCAUUGUAAAAGGGACCAUCCCCUUCUCUGAACAGAGUAGCAAAAGAAAUGAGCUUGAUCUGCCUUUGGAGAACCUCAACGAAGCACCAGUCCUCUCUACUUUCCUUUUUGCAAUGCCGCUUCUGCCUGUUUAAAUACCUGAUCAAGAAAACGGCAACAGUAGCAAGUGGUAAAUGGCUUCCUGGGGUGGCAAUGGUCUUUUCUCCUCUUCACAGAAUGACACUGAACUUAUCCACAGAUCGUAUCAAAAACCAUGAUCGUUGCCCCAAACCUGCCAUAGACUAAUACAGUAGAGUCUCACUGAUCCAACAUAAACGGGCCGGCAGAACGUUGGAUAAGCGAAUAUGUUGGAUAAUAAGGAGGGAUUAAGGAAAAGCCUAUUAAACAUCAAAUUAGGUUAUGAUUUUACAAAUUAAGCUCCAAAACAUCAUGUUAUACAACAAAAUCAACAGAAAAAGUAGUUCAAUAUGCAGUAAUGCUAUGUAGUAAUUACUGUGUUUACGAAUUUAGCACCAAAAUAUCAUGAUGUAUUGAAAACAUUGAUUACAAAAAUGCUUUGGAUAAUCCAGAAUGUUGGAUAAGCGAAUGUUAGAUAAGUGAGACUCUACUAUACAUACGAUCAACUUAUACAUGGGGAUAUAUAUAACAGGUUUGCAAUUUUUAUUAUCUAUUACAACAUGCAAAAUUUAUGUCUUUCCCAGUGUCAGAGUAAUGGAAUAUCUAAACCACAUAAAUAAUCUUCAACAACAGUAACAAAAUCAACCAGGAAAAAAAGAAAUCAUUCGUGAACCCCAAAUAUUUGUAAUUAAAAAUAGAGUUCCCCUCUGAAAAUUAUGAAGGAAAAGAUCUGGCAAACGUCCUGAGCUCCUAUCAUUAGAAAGCACUUACAUUUAGUAGUUAAUAAAACUGGCAGAGACAGUUUCACUCACUCUGCCAUCAUUUCUCCUUUCAGCUGCUUUCAAAAUGUCCAAGGUCUUCUCUCAUUCUCUUCCUUUCUCCCCAGCUUACUUUCACUAACACAAGCUGAGAUCAGUUUGGACUGAAUAAUUUCAGCAAUGAUAGAAGAGAGGGAAGAAUUGAGCACUCCCCAGGCAAAAGCAAACUGCUACAGCCUCUCCUAGCUAGUUAUUCUUCAUAAACAAUGUUUUUUAUCCUAACACACACUUGUGCUCCUUGGCCCUACAUGUCCUGGUGUUCAUCUCUGAAAUGUUGGUGGGCAUUUCAUGUUUGGUUGCAUCAAACACCUUACUAUAUUCAUGCAUUUGUCUAAGUACAUGAAAGAUAUAGCUCUCUCAGUGGCUGCUCUCAGUCUUUGAAAUGUUCUUCAUAAAGUGGUUUGGAUGCUCCCGCUUUGCUGUCCUUUUUCUUGUACAUGAAGAGCUUUAAAAAAAUUAUGGGAGGCUUUUGCAAGGUGAUAGUUUUAUAAGAAAAUAUCUAAUUUAGUGGUUCUCAACCUGUGGGCCAUUGCCCACCAGUGAGCCAUGAGAACAAAAAUCCGCAAAUCUCCUUCCUCUUUAUUUUAUUAAUUUUAUUUCCGCUUCCUUCCACAGAGCAGAGCAUUAGAUAGACCACAUCAGCUUGAGAUUAUUAAAUAUGGUUUUCUGUGGGCAAGCAGAUGGCGACUACUGGAUGGCACAUGUAGUGCUAUCCAAUGAAAUUAUCUGAAUCAGCACCCAAAUAACCAAACCAAUUCUAAAGUUGUCCCUGGUCAAAAAAAGGUUGGAAACUACUGGUCGAUAGUAUGCUGUGCUACUUUUAAAACAAUAUUUUAAAUAGUUUUAAUUAUAAUGAUGAUUUAAUACAUGUUUUAACCAGAGGCUCUGAUGUGUUUUUAGCUAAAGUUUAUGUUUUAGCUAAAACAUAUGCAUUUUACUACAUUGUAAGAUGACUUAAAUCCUAGCUUUGAGGACAAGGUGAGGGAUAAAUAAAAAAACCCCAGCAGAACAGAACACAAUAGUAUGUUUCAGACCCCAUCUACAC
rnacentral:lncRNA from 11 species